GAUGAAGAACGUAGCGGAAUGCGAAAAGUAAUGUGAAUUGCAGAAUUCAGUGAAUCAUCGAAUCUUUGAACGCACAUUGCGCCCGCCAGUAUUCUGGCGGGCAUGCCUGUCUGAGCGUCAUUUCAACCCUCACGCCCCUAGGGCGUGGUGUUGGGGAUCGGCCAAGGCCCGCAAGGGACGGCCGGCCCCUAAAUCUAGUGGCGGACCCAUCGUGGCCUCCCCUGCGAAGUAGUAAUAUAUUCCGCAUCGGAUAGCGAUGAGCCCCUGCCGUUAAACCCCCAACUCUUUCAAGGUUGACCUCAGAUCAGGUAGGAAUACCCGCUGAACUUAAGCAUAUCAAUAAGCGGAGGA
rnacentral:misc_RNA from 1 species